GCCGCGUUGGCCCAAUGGUAAGGCGUCUCUUUCCUAUUAUGGGUUAAAGCCAAUGGCUUAGGAGAAGACUGUGGGUUCGAUCCCCACACGUGGUU
rnacentral:tRNA from 1 species